rnacentral:rRNA from 1 species
GACGAACGCUGGCGGCGUGCUUAACACAUGCAAGUCGAACGAUGAACCCGGAGCUUGCUCCGUUGGAUUAGUGGCGAACGGGAGAGUAACACGUGAGCAACCUGCCCUUUACUCUGGAAUAACUGCGGGAAACGGUAGCUAAUACCGAAUAUGAACAAUGAAGACAUCUUGAGUUGGUGGACAGCAUUUCGGCUCGGGAUGGACGCGCGGGCAAUCAGCUUGUUGGUGAGGUAUCGGCCCACCAGGGCAGCGACGGGUAGCCGGCCAGGGAGGGGGAACGGGCACACGGGGACUGAGAGACGGCCCAGACUCCUACGGGAGGCAGCAGGGGGGAAUAUGGCACAAUGGGCGCAAGCCUGAUGUAGCAACGCCGCGUGAGGGAUGACGGCCUUCGGGUUGUAAACCUCUUUUAGUAGGGAAGAAGCGAAAGUGACGGUACCUGCAGAAAAAGCACCGGCUAACUACGUGCCAGCAGCCGCCGUAA